rnacentral:rRNA from 1 species
UACAGAGGGGGCAAGCGUUAUUCGGAAUUAUUGGGCGUAAAGAGCGUGUAGGCGGUCCGGUAAGUCCGCUGUGAAAGUCGGGGGCUCAACCCUCGAAUGCCGGUGGAUACUGUCGGGCUAGAGUGCGGAAGAGGCGAGUGGAAUUCCUGGUGUAGCGGUGAAAUGCGCAGAUAUCAGGAGGAACACCUAUUGCGAAGGCAGCUCGCUGGGACGUAACUGACGCUGAGACGCGAAAGCGUGGGGAGCAAACAGG